rnacentral:lncRNA from 1 species
GGGAAUAAGUGAAAACACAGUCAAUUUUUUUUAAUUUUUUCUCAAUUUUCUGUAUUUUUUCUUUUUUUUUUUCAUCUUGUCUCUUUUCUUUUCUCUCUUUUCAGAACACAACUCUAAGAGACAAGAUACAUGAUAUUUACAAUGCAACCGCAAGAAGAGGACUCACUAGUCAAUUCAUCUGCAACUCCUAAGAGACCACACUUAUUCCUAAAACAAUUCCAAAGCUCCAAAAUUCCCUAAGGUUUAGGUAAUCAUGGUUUUUCACUUAGGCUAUUGUAUGAGCUUCAAAACAAAGAAAUGGGGGAAGUAUAGGCUCAAGGGGGCUCAUAAAGAGAUCAUAACAGGGUAGGCUAUCUGGCUAGAGAGGCUCAAUCAACAAAAAGCCUUUAUCAUUUUCAAACAUGCUCAUGAAUCAAGAAUUAUCAACAGAGUCAAGCCAUGGCUUCCAUGUGUUGACUUCAAAGCAAAAUAAAAGUUGGAAGAAUUUCUCUCAUCCAGCCGAGACGUCCCCUCUCCAACGUGGGACUUCAAUUUCUUCAAGAAAAUUCACAUUGCUUCCAACCAUCACAUCAAGUCUACCUACUCACCUUGCCUAAAGACUCAAUGACCGAACCUCUUUCCUCAAUUUUGACUCCAUCCGCUGCUUACCAUUAUAAAAGCUAAAGGAAAGGCAUUUACAAUAAAUGUAAGGCUACCUACUCAAGAUGUGACAACUCCUCUUCCUUCAAUGAGAAAUGAAAUCUUCAAAACAAAGAAAUGGCUCACUAUCGCUGCAACACAAUGCUUCUCUCUUGCUUCUGAAUAAAAAUAAAUUCUUGUCAUAACACAUUAAAAGACGUUCCACCUCAUUCUUCCAAUUCUAUGCAAGCUAAAACCGUACUGCACCAUUUUUUAUGCAAUGAAGAUUGAAGAAAACAUUACCUUGAUGUGCUAGACCAAAAGAAAUUGAAAAUUGAUUCCCCCAAAAUAAAAG